rnacentral:sRNA from 1 species
GCUUCGGAUAGCCUGCCGACCGAGAGGGC